CGGAGGAAAAGAAACCAACAGGGAUUGCCCCAGUAGCGGCGAGUGAAGCGGCAAAAGCUCAGAUUUGGAAUCGCUUCGGCGAGUUGUGAAUUGCAGGUUGGCGCCUCUGCGGCGGCGGCGGUCCAAGUCCCUUGGAACAGGGCGCCAUUGAGGGUGAGAGCCCCGUGGGACCGUUUGCCUACGCUCUGAGGCCCUUCUGACGAGUCGAGUUGUUUGGGAAUGCAGCUCUAAGCGGGUGGUAAAUUCCAUCUAAGGCUAAAUACUGGCGAGAGACCGAUAGCGAACAAGUACUGUGAAGGAAAGAUGAAAAGCACUUUGAAAAGAGAGUGAAACAGCACGUGAAAUUGUUGAAAGGGAAGGGUAUUGCGCCCGACAUGGAGCGUGCGCACCGCUGCCCCUCGUGGGCGGCGCUCUGGGCGUGCUCUGGGCCAGCAUCGGUUUUUGCCGCGGGAGAAGGGCGGCGGGCAUGUAGCUCUUCGGAGUGUUAUAGCCUGCCGCCGGCGCCGCGAGCGGGGACCGAGGACUGCGACUUUUGUCUCGGAUGCUGGCACAACGGCGCAACACCGCCCGU
rnacentral:rRNA from 1 species